GUUUUCUGCUUUAAAAAAUAUAUUUUCUAUAGAAAAGUAUGAGUUGACAUUUUUCAUAUAUUUUAUUUUGAAAAGUAAGAAAUUUGAAAUUUCUAUUAAAGAAAUUUACAAACCUCCUGCAGAGGUAAACCAAAUUUAAAUAAAAAGUUGAUCCUGUGGCGUUUAAAAAAAGAAUAUACCAGGUACAGUAAUUAGGGGUACAGGGUUAGCAAACUUUUUACCCAAUCUUAUUAUUAAAAUCUAAUUUUUAUUUUCAAGUUUAAGUAGUGAAUAGCUUAUUUUUUUCCAACUAAAUCCUGAAUACCUGGUAUUUGAGACAAACACAUUUUUUUGUGUAUAAAAAAGGGGAGAUAAUUCAUCAAUGAAAAAUAUUGAUAUUAUUGGAGAGA
rnacentral:lncRNA from 1 species